UUUUAAACCAUGUGAAUGUUUGUUUGUUGUUGGUGGUGGUGGUGGUGGAGGUUUUUUUUUUUACGUGUUAACGUCGAGGUGAUCCGAAAGCAUCGACGCGUCGAAAGUUAGGAGUGUGUAGCCUACAUCACGCUUUUGCCUUAUUAGCACAUCGCUCAUUCUUGGUUCCUCGGCUCUCGAGAAGGAAAGGAGAGAUGGAGAGGAAGAACCGUGUGAGGUCUUGAAGAUGUACACAGGUCAUGUGUGACAGCGGAGGAGAAACCAGAAAUAUGUAAAGAAAAAUACAGCACGGAAGAGAAACUGAACGUGAGGGGGGUUUCCGUCAAGCUGUCAAGCUGCAAACUGAAGACGUAAAAACGAUGAUUUUUGGACGUGUUGACCCUGAUGGGAUGCAAAUCGUCCAGGCAGGAAACCUUAUGAAUGAAGAAGAAGAAGAAGAAACAGAGAAGGAUGGACAAAAUUAUAAACAGACAAGGAGAGAGAGAGAGAGAGAGGGAGAGAGAGAGAGGGAGGAUGAGCGGCGUGAGAGCAGCUGCUGCUCGGAGACGUUGACAGUUUGCUGUGAACUCUGCGUGUUGAUGUCGAUAUCAUCUGAAGCAUCUAUGCAGAGUCGUCAAAAAGCCACCGCCUAGAAGUUCAGCCAACUUACCCCCUCCCCCACCCCCACCCCUCCUCCUGCACCCCGUCCUCGUACACGGCGUUUAGGAAAUAUGUUUUUAUAAUGUUUUUCUGCCCCCCUGUGACAGACUCAGAGCUCCCCCUAGCAGCACACAGCCACAAAAACAACACCAAACACACAACACUCUCUCCUCACGCUUCUCUCCUCCUCUCUCGAUUAUUCUCAUCUCCACCGGGAGAACGUCGCUGCAGAAAACUCACUCUCUUGCUCCAGCCGAGCGGCGGCAGGCUCAGGCGUAUUAAGACAUGCUUUUGUGUUGUUGUUCUUUUUUUCUUUCUUUCUUUUUUUUCUGGUCUCGUGCCAAAUGAUUUCAAAAGUUUCUGACCUACAAGAUGGUGCAAAGUCUUCUUUUAUGGUUUAUGGUUCGGAAUUCAUAGAUUAGUCUUUCUGUGUGUGUGUGUGUGUGUGUGUGUGUGUGUGUGUGUGUGUGUGUGUGUGUUCUUGUAUGAUCUCUCACACACAGACACACACACACACACACACACGAGUACAUUUUAAACUGUCGUAUUUGACAUUAAAGUGGAUUUAUGACCCAGA